CGGCCUGCAGGCAACGUUUGACUGUGGGAGUGAAAGAAAGAUCAGCUGUUAAUAACAAAAGUCACCAUCACAAUGGCCUCUUCUGAGUCAAUUUGUUUGUUUCACUCAUUUCAUAAUUCAUCAGGCAGAAUCACUUGGUCAUAUCGCCCACCCUCCUGUGUGUACAUCAAAAGUAAGUGUAGGUGACGAUAAUGGAGAUGAAUGCCGUUCUAUUGAAGGGUGCACACGGAGGGGGCCGGCGCUUCAAAGGACACAGCCGGAGCUGGAACACACAUCUGAGCGAGGGGGUGGAGAACACGGGGGAACCGAGCGAAGCAAGGGACACUACACUUGAGGGGGUUUAUGGAUGACUGUUUGCCAGACUGCUCGACUGCGUGACAC